rnacentral:lncRNA from 1 species
CUUCAAGAAUCUUCAGCUGUCAUGGAUCUUGCACUUGCUUCAAUGGUGAAGAACCUUCAAAGAUUUUCCACCUUCUUGCUUCCAAAACCUGCAAACAGAGCUUCAACAGCAAACACAAUUGAUGCAUUCGCCCAGGAUUCUUGCAGAGAUUGAAGGAUUAUGGAUGAGAUUUUGAAAAAAAGUAUAAAAGUUCAAAGUGAAAAGUGAGAGAAUGAUCCAAAAAAUUCUUGAGAUUUUCUGUUGUGAAUGAUGAAUUGUGAUUA